AAUGAAGUGCCUGAUGAAAAGGGUUACCUUGAUAGGGUAAAUUAUGCACUAUAGUGCUUUCAUUA
rnacentral:tRNA from 1 species